UGAAUUGUAUUUGCAACGUAGGAUGGAAGAAGAAUUGCGAGAAAAGCUUAUAUUUGGUGGCAUCGAAGAAACUACACUCGCCAUCUUAGAAAAUCACAAGCUAACUGAUUGCCAUGUCUUGAACGAAGUGGACAUCAGUGUACUUUUUUUGUGCGGGGUAAAGGCAGGAGAUGCUCUGACAGUUAAAAAGAUAUGCAAGGUGUACUUAUCAACUAAAAACACUGAGGGUGCAACCUGUGUCGCCGACCAGAUGGACAAUCGAACACAGAC